AUGGCCUCCGGUCAGCAGGAGAGGUCGCAGCUGGACCGCAAGGCCCGCGAGGGCGAGACCGUCGUCCCCGGCGGCACCGGCGGCACCAACCUCCAGGCGCAGGAGAACCUCGCCGAAGGGCGCAGCCGCGGCGGGCAGACGCGCAAGGAGCAGAUGGGGGAGGAAGGGUACCGCGAGAUGGGGCGCAAGGGCGGGCUGAGCACCAACGACGAGUCCGGCGGCGAGCGCGCCGCCAGGGAGGGUAUCGACAUCGACGAGUCCAAGUUCAAGACCAAGUCCUAG
rnacentral:rRNA from 1 species